rnacentral:rRNA from 1 species
GNNUNGCGGGCGGGCCUACACAUGCAAGUCGAGCGGUAGAGAGAAGCUUGCUUCUCUUGAGAGCGGCGGACGGGUGAGUAAUGCCUAGGAAUCUGCCUAGUGGUGGGGGAUAACGUUCGGAAACGGACGCUAAUACCGCAUACGUCCUACGGGAGAAAGCGGGGGACCUUCGGGCCUCGCGCCAUUAGAUGAGCCUAGGUCGGAUUAGCUAGUUGGUGAGGUAAAGGCUCACCAAGGCGACGAUCCGUAACUGGUCUGAGAGGAUGAUCAGUCACACUGGAACUGAGACACGGUCCAGACUCCUACGGGAGGCAGCAGUGGGGAAUAUUGGACAAUGGGCGAAAGCCUGAUCCAGCCAUGCCGCGUGUGUGAAGAAGGUCUUCGGAUUGUAAAGCACUUUAAGUUGGGAGGAAGGGUAGUAACUUAUUACNUUGCUACUUUGACGUUACCGACAGAAUAAGCACCGGCUAACUUCCUGCCAGCAGCCGCGGUAAUACUAAGGGUGCAUNUCGUUCUUCGGAA